GAAGCAAAUGUCUGCAUUGCCUCUCAUAACUUAGAAACCAUGCUUACAACCUUUGAAUGAUUCAAUUUCCACAACACACUGGUCCAUCGUGUUGAACAUGUUCAGAGUAGCCCCAGGGGGAAUUGUCUGCUGCUGAGAAGCACAAGCAGAAGGAUGUUUUGAACAAGUUAAUACUUUAAAAGUGCUUCAGAAAUUCAGAAGAGAUAUUUCUGUGGACCAGUAAUAGUGGUGGUAAUACAACAAAUCCCAGGAAUAAGAUUUUGUGAGAAAGAAGAAGAAAGGAAAUAUAGGUUCUUGUUAUUUCUUUCUUUUUUUUUUUUGGAUAGGUAAG